GACGAACGCUGGCGGCGUGCUUAACACAUGCAAGUCGAACGAGAGCGUAGAGAAAGCUUGCUUUUUCUACAAUCUAGUGGCAAACGGGUGAGUAACGCGUAAACAACCUGCCCUACGGAUGGGGACAACAGCUGGAAACGGCUGCUAAUACCGAAUACGUUCCGAAAGUCGCAUGACUAUCGGAAGAAAGGAUGGCCUCUAUUUAUAAGCUAUCGCCGGAGGAGGGGUUUGCGUCUGAUUAGCUAGUUGGAGGGGUAACGGCCCACCAAGGCGACGAUCAGUAGCCGGUCUGGGAGGAUGAACGGCCACAUUGGAACGGAGGCACGGUCCAGACUCCUACGGGAGGCAGCAGUGGGGAAUCUUCCGCAAUGGGCGAAAGCCUGACGGAGCAACGCCGCGUGAGUGAAGACGGCCUUCGGGUUGUAAAGCUCUGUUAUACGGGACGAAUAAUCUUGUGGUUAAUACCCAUGAGAAGUGACGGUACCGUAAGAGAAAGCCACGGCUAACUACGUG
rnacentral:rRNA from 1 species